rnacentral:rRNA from 1 species
CCUACGGGCGGCAGCAGUAGGGAAUAUUGCUCAAUGGGGGAAACCCUGAAGCAGCAACGCCGCGUGGAGGAUGAAGGUUUUCGGAUUGUAAACCUCUUUUGUUAGAGAAGAUAAUGACGGUAUCUAACGAAUAAGCACCGGCCAACUCCGUGCCAGCAGCCGCGGUAAUACGGAGGGUGCAAGCGUUACUCGGAAUCACUGGGCGUAAAGAGCGCGUAGGCGGGAUAGCAAGUCAGAUGUGAAAUCCUAUGGCUUAACCAUAGAACUGCAUUUGAAACUGUUAUUCUAGAGUAUGGGAGAGGUAGGUGGAAUUCUUGGUGUAGGGGUAAAAUGCGUAGAGAUCAAGAAGAAUACUCAUUGCGAAGGCGACCUGCUAGAACAUAACUGACGCUGAUGCGCGAAAGCGUGGGGAGCAAACAGGAUUAGAUACCCGGGUAGUC